rnacentral:misc_RNA from 1 species
GAUGAAGAACGUAGUGAAUUGCGAAAAGUAAUGUGACUUGCAUACAUCUGUGAACCAUCGAAUCUUUGAACGCACAUGGCACCGUUAGGUUCUGCCUAGCGGUAUACUUGUUUGAGAAUCGUAUAACCCUUUCGCUCCUUGCUCUGCGGGGAGCGGUGUUGAGACCUUAAGGCGGUGCUCAGUAUGGGCGCUGUCUUGGUCUUUAAAUGGAUCGCUUGCGAGUGCAUGGCCAAUGUGGUCGUCGUGGGCUCUGUGUGGUAAGGUGUGCACAACGCCAAUAGCACUUUGUUCCUGACCACCACACAUGCACCUCCAAGACCCUACUAAUCGUGCCUGCAGGCUUGAUUCACAAGGCGCGCCUCUUCGGGGACGCGGCCUUGGUCUACCGAUCUCAAAUCAAGCAAGACUACCCGCUGAACUUAAGCAUAUCAAUAAGCGGAGGA